rnacentral:tRNA from 1 species
AGGGCUAUAGCUCAACGGUAGAGCACCUCGUUUACACCGAGAAUGUUUACGGUUCGAAUCCGUAUAGCCCUA